rnacentral:rRNA from 1 species
GUGCCAGCAGCCGCGGUAAUACGUAGGUGGCAAGCGUUAUCCGGAAUUAUUGGGCGUAAAGCGCGCGUAGGCGGUUUUUUAAGUCUGAUGUGAAAGCCCACGGCUCAACCGUGGAGGGUCAUUGGAAACUGGAAAACUUGAGUGCAGAAGAGGAAAGUGGAAUUCCAUGUGUAGCGGUGAAAUGCGCAGAGAUAUGGAGGAACACCAGUGGCGAAGGCGACUUUCUNGGUCUGUAACUGACGCUGAUGUGCGAAAGCGUGGGGAUCAAACAGGAUUAG